GGGUUGUGAGGUUAAGCGACUAAGCGUACACGGUGGAUGCCCUGGCAGUCAGAGGCGAUGAAGGACGUGCUAAUCUGCGAUAAGCGCCGGUAAGGUGAUAUGAACCGUUAUAACCGGCGAUUUCCGAAUGGGGAAACCCAGUGUGACUCGUCACACUAUCAUUAACUGAAUCCAUAGGUUAAUGAGGCGAACCGGGGGAACUGAAACAUCUAAGUACCCCGAGGAAAAGAAAUCAACCGAGAUUCCCCCAGUAGCGGCGAGCGAACGGGGAGGAGCCCAGAGCCUGAAUCAGCAUGUGUGUUAGUGGAAGCGUCUGGAAAGGCGCGCGAUACAGGGUGACAGCCCCGUACACAAAAGCGCAUAUGCUGUGAGCUCGAUGAGUAGGGCGGGACACGUGGUAUCCUGUCUGAAUAUGGGGGGACCAUCCUCCAAGGCUAAAUACUCCUGACUGACCGAUAGUGAACCAGUACCGUGAGGGAAAGGCGAAAAGAACCCCGGCGAGGGGAGUGAAAAAGAACCUGAAACCGUGUACGUACAAGCAGUGGGAGCCCCACCACUAAGCCAGUGGUGAACUCCACAUACGCAUCCUUUGCUGAGGAUACGGUUAACGGAGCGAAAGCGACGUUCAACCGCAAAAGAAGCAGAGGGGGCUUAGUGGUGGGGUGACUGCGUACCUUUUGUAUAAUGGGUCAGCGACUUAUAUUCUGUAGCAAGGUUAACCGUAUAGGGGAGCCGGAGGGAAACCGAGUCUUAACCGGGCGUUAAGUUGCAGGGUAUAGACCCGAAACCCGGUGAUCUAGCCAUGGGCAGGUUGAAGGUUGGGUAACACUAACUGGAGGACCGAACCGACUAAUGUUGAAAAAUUAGCGGAUGACCUGUGGCUGGGGGUGAAAGGCCAAUCAAACCGGGAGAUAGCUGGUUCUCCCCGAAAGCUAUUUAGGUAGCGCCUCGUGAAUUCAUCUCCGGGGGUAGAGCACUGUUUCGGCUAGGGGGCCAUCCCGGCUUACCAACCCGAUGCAAACUGCGAAUACCGGAGAAUGUUAUCACGGGAGACACACGGCGGGUGCUAACGUCCGUCGUGAAGAGGGAAACAACCCAGACCGCCAGCUAAGGUCCCAAAGUCAUGGUUAAGUGGGAAACGAUGUGGGAAGGCCCAGACAGCCAGGAUGUUGGCUUAGAAGCAGCCAUCAUUUAAAGAAAGCGUAAUAGCUCACUGGUCGAGUCGGCCUGCGCGGAAGAUGUAACGGGGCUAAACCAUGCACCGAAGCUGCGGCAGCGACACUCAGGUGUUGUUGGGUAGGGGAGCGUUCUGUAAGCCUGUGAAGGUGGCCUGUGAGGGUUGCUGGAGGUAUCAGAAGUGCGAAUGCUGAC
rnacentral:rRNA from 1 species